rnacentral:rRNA from 1 species
CGAAAGCCUGACGGAGCAAUACCGCGUGAGGGACGACGGCCUUCGGGUUGUAAACCUCUUUUAUCAAGGAGGAAGUUCUGACGUGUACUUGAUGAAUAAGCAUCGGCUAACUCCGUGCCAGCAGCCGCGGUAAGACGGAGGAUGCAAGUGUUAUCCGGAAUCACUGGGCGUAAAGCGUCUGUAGGUGGUUUAAAAAGUCUGCUGUUAAAAAUUGAAGCUUAACUUCAAGGGUGCCGUAGAAACUUUUAAACUCGAGGAUGGUAGGGGUAGAGGGAAUUUCCAGUGGAGCGGUGAAAUGCGUAGAUCUUGGAAAGACCACCAAUGGCGAAGGCACUCUACCGGGCCAUUACUGACACUAAGAGACGAAAGCUAGGGGAGCAAAUGGGAUUAGAUACCCCAGUAGUCCUAGCUGUAAACGAUGGAUACUAGAUGUUGUGUGUAUUGACCCAUGCAGUAUCGUAGCUAAUGCGUUAAGUAUCCCGCCUGGGAAGUAUGCUCGCAAGAGUG